rnacentral:rRNA from 1 species
GGGAAUCUUGGACAAUGGGCGCAAGCCUGAUCCAGCCAUGCCGCGUGAGUGAUGAAGGCCUUAGGGUCGUAAAGCUCUUUCGCCUGUGAUGAUAAUGACAGUAGCAGGUAAAGAAACCCCGGCUAACUCCGUGCCAGCAGCCGCGGUAAUACGGAGGGGGUUAGCGUUGUUCGGAAUUACUGGGCGUAAAGCGCGCGUAGGCGGACUAGUCAGUCAGGGGUGAAAUCCCGGGGCUCAACCCCGGAACUGCCUUUGAUACUGCUAGUCUAGAGUUCGAGAGAGGUGAGUGGAAUUCCGAGUGUAGAGGUGAAAUUCGUAGAUAUUCGGAGGAACACCAGUGGCGAAGGCGGCUCACUGGCUCGAUACUGACGCUGAGGUGCGAAAGUGUGGGGAGCAAACAGGAUUAGAUACCCUGGUAGUCCACACCGUAAACGAUGAAUGCCAGUCGUCGGGUAGCAUGCUAUUCGGUGACACACCUAACGGAUUAAGCAU